GACGAACGCUGGCGGCGUGCUUAACACAUGCAAGUCGAACGGAAAGGCCCUGCUUUUGUGGUGUGCUCGAGUGGCGAACGGGUGAGUAACACGUGAGUAACCUGCCCCUGACUUUGGGAUAACUUCAGGAAACUGGGGCUAAUACCGGAUAGGAGCUCCUGCUGCAUGGUGGUGGUUGGAAAGUUUCGGCGGUUGGGGAUGGACUCGCGGCUUAUCAGCUUGUUGGUGGGGUAGUGGCUUACCAAGGCUUUGACGGGUAGCCGGCCUGAGAGGGUGACCGGCCACAUUGGGACUGAGAUACGGCCCAGACUCCUACGGGAGGCAGCAGUGGGGAAUAUUGCACAAUGGGCGGAAGCCUGAUGCAGCAACGCCGCGUGCGGGAUGACGGCCUUCGGGUUGUAAACCGCUUUCGCCUGUGACGAAGCGUGAGUGACGGUAAUGGGUAAAGAAGCACCGGCUAACUACGUG
rnacentral:rRNA from 1 species